rnacentral:lncRNA from 1 species
AGCAUUUACAUAAGGAAGCCUUAUUUCCACAUAGUGACUGUUUCUUGGGUUUCUUUUUCUUUGUGUCUUUGCUCUUUUUUUUUUUUUUUUUUUUUUAAUUUCUUUUUCACAGAAUAGGGAUCAACUAAACAAACACAUUUUGGUAAGCAAAUUGUUUCAAAUUUCAGACCUUGCUUUGAAGGAAAUUAAGAAUACUAAAGACUUCACCGUCUUUUUCACACCUAUACAUAAGUAUAUGGAUACAAAUACACACAGUCACACAGAAGUAUAUUAGAGCAUUGGAUUUCAUUUUCCUCAUGGAAAUGGUUAUUACUAUACCAGGAUGUAUAUUUUUUUCAGGAGAACAGAUGGUACUCAGAAUAAGGAAAGGUGGGUCUCUUAACUUUUCCUGUAUUUCAUUACUUACAUUUUUUAUUUUAUCCAAGAACUGCAAGUAACAUUUGAACCAUGCUGCUGUUGUACCUUAAAAACUCAGUGAUAACCAGUGUUUAGUCGAUUAAAAGCACUCUUUUCGAAGAAAACAGUUUUAAAGUCUCUGAUUAGCCAGAGUACAGUUUGGGUCUUCACUGAGAAAAAUGAUGGCCCAUUUUCUUUGGGAAACCCUGGGAAAUGCAAGUGUGGGUGUGCCAUGUGUGUUCUAUUUGCAUUGAAACAAUGUACCUUUGUGUCGUCUUUUUGCUUUUCCUGACUUAUUUCAGAAAUUGUAUAGUCUUUGGGGGGGAAAAAGUCUUUUCUGUUAAUAUAUUUACAGUUCAUUAAAGGAUAUGGAAAAUCCAAAUAAAUUACUUUUGAAAGCAGUUUAUAAUCAAGGUGUUAAAGCUAUGUAAAAGCUGUGUCAUCUGCAUUUUUAUAGUGAGUCACAGCAGCAUAGUAAUGAAAGAUCACAUUUUAUGUUCUACAGGAGCCUAGGACAAUGUUUCUCUAAUUUUUACUUACACUUUUUAAUAUAUAUAUAUUAAAAUUCAUACCCUUUUUAGUAUUAUUUGGAAUUUCAAAAUAAAUAUUAUGACAAAAAAC